rnacentral:rRNA from 1 species
GACGGAGGAUGCAAGCGUUAUCCGGAAUCACUGGGCGUAAAGCGUCUGUAGGUGGUCAAAUAAGUCAACUGUUAAAUCUUGAGGCUCAACCUCAAAAUCGCAGUCGAAACUAUUCGACUAGAGUAUAGUAGGGGUAAAGGGAAUUUCCAGUGGAGCGGUGAAAUGCGUAGAGAUUGGAAAGAACACCGAUGGCGAAGGCACUUUACUGGGCUAUUACUAACGCUGAGAGACGAAAGCUAGGGUAGCAAAUGGG